AUUGAACGCUGGCGGCAGGCUUAACACAUGCAAGUCGAGCGAGCGGCGGACGGGUGAGCAAUGUCUGGGAAACUGCCUGAUGGAGGGGGAUAACUACUGGAAACGGUAGCUAAUACCGCAUACCAUCAGAUGUGCCCAGAUUGGAUUAGCUAGACGGUGUGGUAAUGGCUCACCUAGGCGACGAUCCAUAGCUGGUCUGAGAGGAUGACCAGCCACACUGGGACUGAGACACGGUCAAGACUCCUACGGGAGGCAGCAGUGGGGAAUAUUGCACAAUGGUCGCAAGCCUGAUGCAGCCAUGCCGCGUGUGUGAAGAAGGCCUUCGGGUUGUAAAGCUCUUUCAGCGGGGAGGCGUUACUCGCAGAAGAAGCACCGGCUAACUCCGUGCCAGCAGCCGCGGUAAUUC
rnacentral:rRNA from 1 species